UGCAGCCGGGUAAAGAAUCUUCCACAAUGGGCGCAAGCCUGAUGGAGCAACACCGCGUGAGUGAAGAAGGGUUUCGGCUCGUAAAGCUCUGUUGUUAAAGAAGAACACGUAUGAGAGUAACUGUUCAUACGUUGACGGUAUUUAACCAGAAAGUCACGGCUAACUACGUGCCAGCAGCCGCGGUAAUACGUAGGUGGCAAGCGUUAUCCGGAUUUAUUGGGCGUAAAGAGAGUGCAGGCGGUUUUCUAAGUCUGAUGUGAAAGCCUUCGGCUUAACCGGAGAAGUGCAUCGGAAACUGGAUAACUUGAGUGCAGAAGAGGGUAGUGGAACUCCAUGUGUAGCGGUGGAAUGCGUAGAUAUAUGGAAGAACACCAGUGGCGAAGGCGGCUACCUGGUCUGCAACUGACGCUGAGACUCGAAAGCAUGGGUAGCGAACAGGAUUAGAUACCCUGGUAGUCCAUGCCGUAAACGAUGAGUGCUAGGUGUUGGAGGGUUUCCGCCCUUCAGUGCCGGAGCUAACGCAUUAAGCACUCCGCCUGGGGAGUACGACCGCAAGGUUGAAACUCAAAGGAAUUGACGGGGGCCCGCACAAGCGGUGGAGCAUGUGGUUUAAUUCGAAGCUACGCGAAGAACCUUACCAGGUCUUGACAUCUUGCGCCAACCCUAGAGAUAGGGCGUUUCCUUCGGGAACGCAAUGACAGGUGGUGCAUGGUCGUCGUCAGCUCGUUGUGCGA
rnacentral:rRNA from 2 species